rnacentral:rRNA from 1 species
UACAGAGGGUGCAAGCGUUGUUCGGAAUUACUGGGCGUAAAGCGCGUGUAGGCGGUAAUAUAAGUCAGAUGUGAAAGCCCUCGGCUCAACCGAGGAAGUGCAUCUGAUACUGUAUCACUUGAAUGUCGGAGGGGGUGGCGGAAUUCCCGGUGUAGAGGUGAAAUUCGUAGAUAUCGGGAGGAACACCUGUGGCGAAGGCGGCCACCUGGACGACUAUUGACGCUGAGACGCGAAAGCGUGGGGAGCAAACAGG